GUCCGGACCGAACAACUCAGCUGGUAGAUCGUCUGUCUGGCAUACGGAGGGUCGCCGGUUCGACUCCGGCUCCGAACG
rnacentral:tRNA from 1 species